rnacentral:lncRNA from 1 species
AAAAGUAAAGCGAGUGCGGGAAAAUAAAUAAAGUAAAGCGAGUGCGGGAAAUAAAUAAAGUAAAGCGAGUGCGGGAAAUUAAAUAAAGUAAAGCGAGUGCGGGAAAUUAAAUAAAGUAAAGCGAGUGCAGGAAAUAAAUAAAGUAAAGCGAGUGCGGGAAAUAAAUAAAGUAAAGCGAGUGCGGGAAAUAAAUAAAGUAAAGCGAGUGUGGGAAAUAAAUAAAGUAAAGGCGAAGUAAUAAAAACCUGCUCCAAUCGGAGGGUUGAAUAAAAU